rnacentral:snRNA from 1 species
GUGCUCACUUUGGCAUCACAUAUACUAAAAUGGGAAUUAUACAGAGAGUAUUAGCAUGGCCUCUCCACUAAAUGACACACAAAUUCGUGAAAAGUUCACAUUUUGU